rnacentral:rRNA from 1 species
UACGUAGGGGGCAAGCGUUGUCCGGAAUCACUGGGCGUAAAGGGUGCGUAGGCGGGUCUUUAAGUCAGGGGUGAAAUCCUGGGGCUCAACUCCAGAACUGCCUUUGAUACUGAAGAUCUUGAGUUCGGGAGAGGUGAGUGGAACUGCGAGUGUAGAGGUGAAAUUCGUAGAUAUUCGCAAGAACACCAGUGGCGAAGGCGGCUCACUGGCCCGAUACUGACGCUGAGGCACGAAAGCGUGGGGAGCAAACAGG